rnacentral:rRNA from 1 species
UACGGAGGGGGCUAGCGUUGUUCGGAAUUACUGGGCGUAAAGCGCACGUAGGCGGCUUUGUAAGUUAGAGGUGAAAGCCCGGAGCUCAACUCCGGAAUUGCCUUUAAGACUGCAUCGCUCGAAUCAUGGAGAGGUGAGUGGAAUUCCGAGUGUAGAGGUGAAAUUCGUAGAUAUUCGGAAGAACACCAGUGGCGAAGGCGACUCACUGGACAUGUAUUGACGCUGAGGUGCGGAAGCGUGGGGAGCAAACAGG